UUAUGUUGACGUACAGAUCUUGUAAAAAAUUCAACGUUGAUUUAGAAGUGUUUCUGCCUUUUAACGUAUUAUUAUGAUAAUUAAUUAGCAUUUAAUGAUUUUUUGAUCAUAACAGCUCUUCAAUGUAUAUGUUAAAAUAUAAUUAUUAUGAUUAUUAACAAUAAUAGUUUCACCCUCAAGAGAGCAGUGCAGCAGAAACCUUUUGCCUUAUGUGAUUUUGUGUGAAUUUACAAUUUUGUCCGCUUGCCUAACAUUGCAUUAUUACAUUUGUAUUCAUACACUGUCAUGUCAUUUGAGCAAUUAAUUAAAUAAUAAUACAGACUGCUAAUUAAACUUAAUACACAGUUAUGUUAACUCGCGCAAACUAUUGCUAUUGUUAUUGGUUGUUUCGCCGUUUUACCUAGAGCAUGAUUGGUUAAUCUGUCUGUUUUAAAGGAAACUGUCCAAUGAGAAUGUGCGCGGCUCUGCGCGCCUAUUUUAAAUUUGAAAAUAUGUCCGUUAAUCUCGGUCGGAGCAGCUGCUUUGCGUUGAUUACUCGGUCAGACCUGGAUUAUUUUAUAUCUGCCUGUUGAAUUCUUACAUUUUGAGCGAAUAUUAGUUGAUAUGACAAUGAAGAUCAAAAGCUGGAAUGUGAACAGAGGAGGGGGUCGUACGUGGUCUGUAAAUACUGGCGAUAUCAGAUCAAGCUUUGUAAUACGAUUUUUAUCGGGGGAGAACACCCAACAGAAAGACCCAUGAUUCACCAGCGUAAGUCAAUUUUACCCACGUACUGUUCGAAAACCUACACUAGGAUAGUAUUAAGUAUGAUUUUCAUAAUGUUACUGAUAGAAAGUCUGAGUAACUUUCUGUCCUUUUGUCUUUCUUCUGCUGAAGUGGCGCACUGAAAGGGGAGAUUCAUGUCACCUUCAUCAGUCCUUUCUUUAAUCACUGGACACCAUUAAGGGAAAGACCCUCAGACGUGUUCAUAAUAGGAUAAAUGCUGCUGCAGGACAAGGCCUGGUGAGAGCCACUACAGAGGAUCAUAGCCAUUGUUGGAAUUCUGAAAGGACGUGGGUGAAUAUCAAUCUGCCAAAUGAACAUUCACAUCUGUAUAUUAAUACUGAUUAUAUAUGAACUUGUUUGUUUGUAACUGGAAAGAACUUAGCUUCUAUUUUUUUUGACUGAAGGACUUGACCG